GGUAACAUUCUGAAUGUGGGUAACCCUCCAGAGGCAAGUGACUCCUCAGACACAGAUAACUCUCUGGGAACAGGUGACUGCCCAGAGGCAGGUAACCCUCUGGGAACAGGUAACCCUCUAGAGGCAGAUAACCCUCCGGGAAGAGAUAAACCUCUGAAGUCAGUAACCCUCAAAGCAGGUAACUCUCUGGAGACAAGUAAACUUCCAGAGGCAGGUAAUAUUCUGGAGGCUGGUGACCCUCUGGAA